rnacentral:rRNA from 1 species
UACGAAGGGAGCUAGCGUUGUUCGGAAUCACUGGGCGUAAAGCGCACGUAGGCGGAUGUGUCAGUCAGGGGUGAAAUCCCGGAGCUCAACUUCGGAACUGCCUUUGAUACAGCACGUCUUGAGUCCGAUAGAGGUGGGUGGAAUUCCUAGUGUAGAGGUGAAAUUCGUAGAUAUUAGGAAGAACACCGGCGGCGAAGGCGGCCCACUGGAUCGGUACUGACGCUGAGGUGCGAAAGCGUGGGGAGCAAACAGG